ACGCUCGACACCUACAGGAGGCAGCAGUGGGGAAUAUUGCACAAUGGGGGAAACCCUGAUGCAGCGACGCCGCGUGAGCGAAGAAGUAUUUCGGUAUGUAAAGCUCUAUCAGCAGGGAAGAAACUGACGGUACCUGACUAAGAAGCACCGGCUAAAUACGUGUCAGCAGCCGCGGUAAUCUGAGCGGCUGGCAAGGC
rnacentral:rRNA from 1 species